rnacentral:misc_RNA from 1 species
CACGAAGAGGCCUCCAUCGGUCUUUCAACCUUGCCUAUCGUACCCUUUUUGUUGUUCCCUCGGCGGGGUAAAGCCCGCCGGCGGGAAGCUCGAAAAACCCUUUGCAAUCAGCAUCCAAAACCUCUGAUUACAAAACCUUAAAUCGUUA